rnacentral:rRNA from 1 species
GAUGAACGCUGGCGGCGUGCCUAAUACAUGCAAGUCGAGCGAACGGACGAGAAGCUUGCUUCUCUGAUGUUAGCGGCGGACGGGUGAGUAACACGUGGAUAACCUACCUAUAAGACUGGGAUAACUUCGGGAAACCGGAGCUAAUACCGGAUAAUAUUUUGAACCGCAUGGUUCAAAAGUGAAAGACGGUCUUGCUGUCACUUAUAGAUGGAUCCGCGCUGCAUUAGCUAGUUGGUAAGGUAACGGCUUACCAAGGCAACGAUGCAUAGCCGACCUGAGAGGGUGAUCGGCCACACUGGAACUGAGACACGGUCCAGACUCCUACGGGAGGCAGCAGUAGGGAAUCUUCCGCAAUGGGCGAAAGCCUGACGGAGCAACGCCGCGUGAGUGAUGAAGGUCUUCGGAUCGUAAAACUCUGUUAUUAGGGAAGGACAUAUGUGUAAGUAACUGUGCACAUCUUGACGGUACCUAAUCAGAAAGCCACGGCUAACUACGUGCCGGCAGCCGCGGUAAUACGUAGGUGGCAAGCGUUAUCCGGAAUUAUUGGGCGUAAAGCGCGCGUAGGCGGUUUUUUAAGUCUGAUGUGAAAGCCCACGGCUCAACCGUGGAGGGUCAUUGGAAACUGGAAAACUUGAGUGCAGAAGAGGAAAGUGGAAUUCCAUGUGUAGCGGUGAAAUGCGCAGAGAUAUGGAGGAACACCAGUGGCGAAGGCGACUUUCUGGUCUGUAACUGACGCUGAUGUGCGAAAGCGUGGGGAUCAAACAGGAUUAGAUACCCUGGUAGUCCACGCCGUAAACGAUGAGUGCUAAGUGUUAGGGGGUUUCCGCCCCUUAGUGCUGCAGCUAACGCAUUAAGCACUCCGCCUGGGGAGUACGACCGCAAGGUUGAAACUCAAAGGAAUUGACGGGGACCCGCACAAGCGGUGGAGCAUGUGGUUUAAUUCGAAGCAACGCGAAGAACCUUACCAAAUCUUGACAUCCUUUGACAACUCUAGAGAUAGAGCUUUCCCCUUCGGGGGACAAAGUGACAGGUGGUGCAUGGUUGUCGUCAGCUCGUGUCGUGAGAUGUUGGGUUAAGUCCCGCAACGAGCGCAACCCUUAAGCUUAGUUGCCAUCAUUAAGUUGGGCACUCUAAGUUGACUGCCGGUGACAAACCGGAGGAAGGUGGGGAUGACGUCAAAUCAUCAUGCCCCUUAUGAUUUGGGCUACACACGUGCUACAAUGGACAAUACAAAGGGCAGCGAAACCGCGAGGUCAAGCAAAUCCCAUAAAGUUGUUCUCAGUUCGGAUUGUAGUCUGCAACUCGACUACAUGAAGCUGGAAUCGCUAGUAAUCGUAGAUCAGCAUGCUACGGUGAAUACGUUCCCGGGUCU